UAGGGAAUCUUCGGCAAUGGACGGAAGUCUGACCGAGCAACGCCGCGUGAGUGAAGAAGGUUUUCGGAUCGUAAAGCUCUGUUGUAAGAGAAGAACGAGUGUGAGAGUGGAAAGUUCACACUGUGACGGUAUCUUACCAGAAAGGGACGGCUAACUACGUGCCAGCAGCCGCGGUAAUACGUAGGUCCCGAGCGUUGUCCGGAUUUAUUGGGCGUAAAGCGAGCGCAGGCGGUUAGAUAAGUCUGAAGUUAAAGGCUGUGGCUUAACCAUAGUAGGCUUUGGAAACUGUUUAACUUGAGUGCAAGAGGGGAGAGUGGAAUUCCAUGUGUAGCGGUGAAAUGCGUAGAUAUAUGGAGGAACACCGGUGGCGAAAGCGGCUCUCUGGCUUGUAACUGACGCUGAGGCUCGAAAGCGUGGGGAGCAAACAGGAUUAGAUACCCUGGUAGUCCACGCUGUAAACGAUGAGUGCUAGGUGUUAGACCCUUUCCGGGGUUUAGUGCCGUAGCUAACGCAUUAAGCACUCCGCCUGGGGAGUACGACCGCAAGUU
rnacentral:rRNA from 1 species